GUAGGUGGCAAGCGUUGUCCGGAAUUAUUGGGCGUAAAGCGCGCGCAGGCGGUUCUUUAAGUCUGAUGUGAAAGCCCACGGCUCAACCGUGGAGGGUCAUUGGAAACUGGAGAACUUGAGUACAGAAGAGGAAAGCGGAAUUCCACGUGUAGCGGCGAAAUGCGUAGAGAUGUGGAGGAACACCAGUGGCGAAGGCGGCUUUCUGGUCUGUAACUGACGCUGAGGCGCGAAAGCGUGGGGAGCAAACAGGGAUUAGAUACCCUGGUAGUCCACGCCGUAAACGAUGAGUGCUAAGUGUUAGGGGGUUUCCGCCCCCUUAGUGCUGCAGCUAACGCAUUAAGCACUCCGCCUGGGGAGUACGGCCGCAAGGCUG
rnacentral:rRNA from 1 species